rnacentral:rRNA from 1 species
AACGGUCAUACCAUGCUGAAUAUACCGGUGGUUGUCGUUAGAUCACCGAAGUCAAGCAUCAUUGGGCGCGGUUCGUACUUGGGUGGGUGACCACCUGGGAACACCGCGUGUCGUU